GUCUUUCUGGCCCCCAAGGCAUUCCGAGCCAGAGUCAGAUAUCUUUUUCUCGGUUAACAGGUUGAGGCCCGAAGCCUCAGAUUAAUGGUUACUGAAUUUUCGCUAUAGCAGAUACAUUUAAAACGAGAGAAACUUUCACCCCCUCCAAAUGUUCGUUUACACCUGAAUCCCGGUGGGUUAUUUUCCCUAGUUCAUAGUGAUCAUUGAGAAGGGAUCCGAUUGGUACUUGACGCAACGUUCGAGCCACAUACAAACAAGAAAAUAACAUACAUUUUUUCUUCAUGUUGACAAUAAUCACAUAACUGUUGUAUUUCAGGAAAUUUAUCUAUUGACAGAUUUCCUAUUGAAGUUCAUCUAGCCUAAUUUGGGAUUUAUGAGUUUGCGAGUGGAUUUAUUUUUCCAUUGAUCACAUUUGCCGCUGGGCUUUUAGUUUCCGGUGAUGCUUUUUCUUUCCAUUGCAGUAAUUAAUUAAUUUUUUGACAUGUAAUAGAUGUUUCAAAUUUGCUUGUUUAAGCUUAAACAAUAUACUAGUAAGUAAAUAAAUUAAUUUCAUAUAAAAUAAAUAUUUCUAAUAAUUAA
rnacentral:lncRNA from 1 species